rnacentral:lncRNA from 1 species
AGAGGACAGAGGCAAGAACUGACGAGAGACACAGGGGUAGUAGGAUUUCUGGGCACUGUCGCGGGCCCAGUUGAGGGUGGAGACUGUGACUUCACGGUGACCCAGCCUGCUUAGCAUUAUGGAAAGUCCACAGCAAGGCCACGGGCAUGGGCUGGAGUGGAGGAGAGGCCCCGAGGAUGGGAGCCCAGGAUGUGAGAGGCCUGGAGUUGGACAGCCAGAGGGUCCUGUCACCUAUAGUUUCCCCUGCUAGUUCACCUUGGCUAUCCAGAGAAACUCGAGGAGGUGGAAGAAGCCUGGGCCUUAAUGUGGUGACCACAGGAACUCAGCACAGGAGGAGGAUGUGGCUGCUGGCCCAGCUGAGGGUCUCCGGAGGCUCCGAGGCACCCCCUGAACUGACUCUUCUGGGAAGCAAAGACAUUCCAGUGCUGUGCAAGCCUUCAGGGUUUGCUUUCUUGUCAAUGAUACUUUCAAUGAAUGCUUUCACAAUGAUGCAUACUCAAUAUAGACAAUAUGAAAAGUGCAGAAAAAUAUAAAGAAGUCGAAAAACAAUGACUGAUGGUCCAUUACCCAGAGGCAACCACUAGUAAACUCUGGCAUAUUGUCUUCCAGUCUUCUCUGCUGUUUUCUUUUCCUUUACAUAGUUGAGAUCACACUGCACUCUUAAUUUUGUGUCAUGCUUGCUUCUCUUAACAGUAGAUGACAAAGCUAUUCCCUAUGAUAUUAAACAUUUCAUAAAUGUUGUUUUCAAGGCUGAAUGUGACGGUCAAUUUACUUUUAUGUAUCAACUUGACUAGCACAGAUUAAGCGUUAUUUCUGGG